rnacentral:misc_RNA from 1 species
GAUGAAGAACGUAGCGAAAUGCGAUAAGUAGUGUGAAUUGCAGAAUUCAGUGAAUCAUCGAAUCUUUGAACGCACAUUGCGCCCUCUGGUAUUCCGGAGGGCAUGCCUGUUCGAGCGUCUUUAAAACUACUCAAGCUAAGGUUUUACCUUCUGCUUGGUCUUGGGUUUGAGGAUUCAAAAUCCUCUCUCCGAAAUCCAGUGGCGAAUUGUUUGAGCUGUAGACGUAGUAAAUCAUUCUACCCGUUGCAAGCGAGAAUAAUAUUCAGCCAUAACCCCCAUACUUUUCUAGUUUGACCUCGGAUCAGGUAGGGAUACCCGCUGAACUUAAGCAUAUCAAUAAGCGGAGGA